GACGAACGCUGGCGGCAUGCCUUACACAUGCAAGUCGAACGGCAGCACGGGUGCUUGCACCUGGUGGCGAGUGGCGAACGGGUGAGUAAUACAUCGGAACGUACCUUAUCGUGGGGGAUAACGCAGCGAAAGUUGCGCUAAUACCGCAUACGCCCUGAGGGGGAAAGCGGGGGACCGUAAGGCCUUGCGCGAUUAGAGCGGCCGAUGUCGGAUUAGCGUGUUGGUGAGGUAAAAGCUCACCAAGGCGAUGAUCAGUAGCUGGUACGAGCGGACGAUCAGCCACAGUGGGGCUGAGGCACGGCCCAGACUCCUACGGGGGGCAGCAGUGGGGAAUUUUGGACAAUGGGGGCAACCCUGAUCCAGCAAUGCCGCGUGAGUGAAGAAGGCCUUCGGGUUGUAAAGCCCUUUUAUCAGGGAAGAAACAGCAGCUCUAACACAGUCUGCGAAUGACGGUACCUGAAGAAUAAGCACCGGCUAACUACGUGCCAGCCGCCGCCGUAA
rnacentral:rRNA from 1 species